AUGGGGGAGAUGGACAGUACGUGUUUUAGACUACAUCAGCUUGAAGCCAUUACAAACAACUUCUCAAAGGAUCAAAAAGUAGGCAGCAGCGGGUAUGCAGAUGUUUACAAGGCGGUGCAUAAUGGGGAAGAGAUUGUUGUGAAGAAGUUUUAUCAUAUGCCUGGACUUGGUGAUGAAACGUUUCAAAAUGAAUUCGGUAAUCUUAACAAGCCUCGUCACAAAAAUAUCAUACGGUUAAUUGGCUACUGCUAUGAAAAGCAGUAUAGAUGCUUUGAACACCAUGGGGAUAUUGUUUUCGCGGAGAUAAGAGACCAACUUCUUUGCUUCGAGUAUAUGCAGUCUGGAAGCCUCGAUAAACAUAUUGGAGAUAAUUAUAUUAUGACCAACAGUUUGUGGUAUGUAUUACCACUAGUUUGA
rnacentral:rRNA from 1 species